UGCGGGGAGUCGUAUAUUUUCUGGUGUAUUUAUGCAUCAUGGCACGCGAUUGGUGCAUCUUCCUGUCCCUCUCGGCUCUCGCUGGUUUCAAAAAAAAAAUUAAUGUCACUUCAUUCUCGCUCCUUCACGUCAUCUAGUUGAUCAUUUACGCACACUGUGCUUUCAAACAACCAUUUGGAUAUCAGUUCUAAUCCUGUGUUCUUUUAAUUCGUAUUUGCGUGUGUUUGUGGCCGAUAUUGUGGUCACCAGCUGUCUGAUACCUGAAGCAUUGUCUGGCGAAGUUGUCUCAACAAACCUUACCAUUAUACAAUAUUGGACUACAGUAUCAACUGACAACCAAAUAGAAAACUGGCAAGUACACCUGGAGGAUUACUUUUCAGACUACUGAUUAAUCUAGUCCCUACGAAAUCACCACCAUCAGACCGAUCCCACAAAAGCCUAUCUGGUAAUCUGAUAUAUACAAGAUGGAUCAUGAAGCACUAUACUUAACAUCUUACUAAACAGUGAACCACCAGAGCUUCCCCAAAGAAUCGACCAAUUAUCUAUUGAACUGGGAAUAAGUUUUACAUAGGAUACUCGUAUGUUUUGAAAUUGCAGCUACAUUACAACAUAAAAAAAAAACAUAUGCAACUUUUGAAAUAUUAUCAAAUAUUAAGAUCUUGAACACAAUCAAUUUAAUCGAGGCAAAAUUUUCCUCGGCAGUGAAUAAUUCGAUUAAAAAAGCAAAAUUGUAGUAUCACGUGAUUCACUACUUUUUCAUAGUCAUACGAGUAGUUUUAGUUUAAAUGUGUAAAAAUAAUUUGAUUAGAAAUACUCAGAAGUCAUUUUUUACAAAAUUCAAUCUGUUGAAUUUGCAAUAGAUACAAAAAUAAAUUAAUGUAAGUAGGUAUUUAUGGCGGAUUCUGAGCCAGGAGCUAAGGAGCCGAAGGUGCAACUCCUUAGCUGACACCUAUCCCCUAUCCCUAACACAAACAAAGCCAUAAAGGAUUUAAAAAUGUAGAUUUUAAAACAUUGAAAAUGAACACAUUACAAAUGCAAUAUUUACAAACAUUUUAAUCAAAAAUAAAUAAGUAUUUGUAACAUUAAAAAUUUAAAAUGUACACAAAAUCCAAAAAUCCCCCGUUCAAAACAUAAAAUGGAAAAUCACUUUAAUUAAAAUUAAUUACUUACAAAUACCAUGUGUUUCUAGAUGGGUAUUGGCUUCCUAUAUUCUUUUGUCUUUUUACUCCAUGUGGAGGUGUAGGAAGCUGACACCCCAGUAUCAUUCAUAAACUUCAGGUUGCUCUGAAAAAUUAAAAAAAAAAACAUAAAAUGAUGAAAAAGUUUGUACGUACAUAUUUAGGUUAUUGAGUAGGUAUUUUUUAACAUAAAUUAAAACAUUUGAGUGUGUU